AACGAACGCUGGCGGCAUGCCUAACACAUGCAAGUCGAACGAAGGCUUCGGCCUUAGUGGCGCACGGGUGCGUAACGCGUGGGAAUCUGCCCUUUGGUUCGGAAUAACAGCUGGAAACGGCUGCUAAUACCGGAUGAUGACGAAAGUCCAAAGAUUUAUCGCCAGAGGAUGAGCCCGCGUUGGAUUAGGCAGUUGGUGGGGUAAAGGCCUACCAAGCCGACGAUCCAUAGCUGGCCUGAGAGGAUGAUCAGCCACACUGGGACUGAGACACGGCCCAGACUCCUACGGGAGGCAGCAGUGGGGAAUAUUGGACAAUGGGCGCAAGCCUGAUCCAGCAAUGCCGCGUGAGUGAUGAAGGCCCUAGGGUUGUAAAGCUCUUUUACCCGGGAAGAUAAUGACUGUACCGGGAGAAUAAGCCCCGGCUAACUCCGUG
rnacentral:rRNA from 1 species